rnacentral:rRNA from 1 species
UGGAGCUACGUGGGAGCGACGGAGGUAGUACGGAGUGGUCGAGAGUUAAUCGGAAUUACUGGGCGUAAAGCGUGGGCAGGCGGUUUUGUAAGGUCGAUGGGAAAUCCCCUGGUUCAACCUGGGAACUGCAUUGGGGACUGCAAGGCUGGAGUGCGGCAGAGGGGGAUGGAAUUCCGCGGGUAGCAGUGAAAUGCGUAGAUAUGCGGAGGAACACCGAUGGCGAAGGCAAUCCCCUGGGCCUGCACUGACGCUCAUGCACGAAAGCGUGGGGAGCAAACAGGGUUAGAUACCCGGUUAGUC